rnacentral:rRNA from 1 species
AGUGAACGCUGGCGGUAGGCCUAACACAUGCCAGUCGAACGGCAGCACAGUAAGAGCUUGCUCUUACGGGUGGCGAGUGGCGGACGGGUGAGGAAUACAUCGGAAUCUACUUUUUCGUGGGGGAUAACGUAGGGAAACUUACGCUAAUACCGCAUACGACCUACGGGUGAAAGCAGGGGAUCUUCGGACCUUGCGCGAUUGAAUGAGCCGAUGUCGGCUUAGCUAGUUGGCGGGGUAAAGGCCCACCAAGGCGACGAUCCGUAGCUGGUCUGAGAGGAGGAUCAGCCACACUGGAACUGAGACGAGGUCCAGAAUCCUACGGGAGGCAGCAGUGGGGAAUAUUGGACAAUGGGCGCAAGCCUGAUCAAGCCAUAACGCGUGGGUGAAGAAGGCCUUCGGGUUGUAAAGACCUUUUGUUGGGAAAGAAAAGCAGCAGGUUAAUACCCCGCUGUUCUGACGGUACCCAAAGAAGAAGCACCGGCUAACUUCGUG